rnacentral:lncRNA from 1 species
AUAUCGUGUAAUGGAAAAGCUUCUUAAAAAAUGAAUGUCAAAGCUGCUAUGGAGGCCAAAGGCUUCUAUGGAGGUUGAAAAAUCCUUUUUCGAAACAAGUUCCAAACGUUAAUAUUUAUAGGCAGAUCUUCUAGGGUUAACAACUUGAGCGGGAAAUACAUUUGAACUUGGUCAAAAAUCUUUCAAAUUCGAACGUUUGAGGCUUGAAACAGACAUCACGUGAUACCUUGGAGAGAGG